rnacentral:rRNA from 1 species
AUUGAACGCUAGCGGGAUGCUUUACACAUGCAAGUCGAACGGCAGCGCGGACUUCGGUCUGGCGGCGAGUGGCGAACGGGUGAGUAAUGUAUCGGAACGUGCCCAGUAGCGGGGGAUAACUACGCGAAAGCGUAGCUAAUACCGCAUACGCCCUACGGGGGAAAGCAGGGGAUCGUAAGACCUUGCACUAUUUGAGCGGCCGAUAUCGGAUUAGCUAGUUGGUGAGGUAACGGCUCACCAAGGCGACGAUCCGUAGCUGGUUUGAGAGGACGACCAGCCACACUGGGACUGAGACACGGCCCAGACUCCUACGGGAGGCAGCAGUGGGGAAUUUUGGACAAUGGGGGCAACCCUGAUCCAGCCAUCCCGCGUGUGCGAUGAAGGCCUUCGGGUUGUAAAGCACUUUUGGCAGGAAAGAAACGUCGCGGGCUAAUACCCCGUGGAACUGACGGUACCUGCAGAAUAAGCACCGGCUAACUACGUG